rnacentral:rRNA from 1 species
CCUACCUAUAUCCCCACGAAAUAAAGGAGCAGGCAUUAGGCACAACACUAGUUAGCCCACGAUGCCUUGUUUAGCCACACCCCCACGGGAACCCAGCAGUGAUUAACAUUAAGCAAUAAGUGAAAACUUGACUUAGUUAAAACCAAGAGGGCCGGUAAAUCUCGUGCCAGCCACCGCGGUUAUACGGGAGACCCAAGUUGACAAACGUCGGCGUAAAACGUGGUUUAUUACAUUAUUACACUAAAGCUAAACCUCUUCAAGACUGUUGUACGUGUUCGAAAGAGAGAGAAUCUUCUACGAAAGUGGCUUUAAAUACUAUGAACCCACGAAAGCUAGGAAACAAACUGGGAUUAGAUACCCCACUAUGCCUAGCCCUAAACCAAGGUAACUAUACACUACAGUUACUUGCCCGGAAAUUACGAGCACCAGCUUAAAACCCAAAGGACUUGGCGGUGACUUAGACCCAUCUAGAGGAGCCUGUUCUGUAAUCGACACCCCCCGUUAAACCUAACCCUCUCUUGUCAUCCCCGCCUAUAUACCGCCGUCGUCAGCUUACCCUGUGAAGGACUAGUAGUGGGCAAAAUCGGCACAGCCCAAAACGCCAGGUCAAGGUGUAGCGUAUGAGAGGGGAAGAAAUGGGCUACAUUCACUGCACCAGUGAAAACGGAUAAUGCUUUGAAACAAGCAC